rnacentral:rRNA from 1 species
UACGGAGGUCCCAAGCGUUGUUCGGAUUCAUUGGGCGUAAAGGGUGCGUAGGCGGCGCGGUAAGUCGGGUGUGAAAUCUCGGAGCUUAACUCCGAAACUGCAUUUGAUACUGCCGUGCUUGAGGACUGGAGAGGAGACUGGAAUUUACGGUGUAGCGGUGGAAUGCGCAGAUAUCAGGAGGAACACCGAUGGCGAAGGCAGGUCACUGGGCCGCAACUGACGCUGAGGAGCGAAAGCGUGGGGAGCGAACAGG